CGGUAGUCGCCGGUAGUCGCCGGGCGGGAGCGCUGCCGGGGUCGGGGUGACGCAGCUCCGCUCUCCCCCUCUUUUCCCGUCCCCGGCGAGCCUCGCGAGGGAGCGCCGCGACCCCCGCCGCGGGCCCGGCCGCAGAAAUGGGUCAGGAUCCGACUGAGCAUGCUCGCGGGCUCGCGGCCGCGUCGGGCGCCCAGGUGGAACCAGCCGGGCCUCCGGUCGGGCCGCGCGGGGGCGGCGCAGGUGCGCGGUCCGGGAGCAGGCAUCCUUGACAAUUGCAUGAGGACACGAAGUUUUCACCUGCUUUUUCGAAGAUGAAGGCCUUGUCCUCACAGAUCAUUGCGCGGUGUUAAGAGUCCAUUUUUUCUUCAGUUCUUCCUUCCUCGGAGACUCCACGUUCUCCAGGACCCUGCAGAGCGCGCUCGCGCCGCCUUGGAUGCACUUGGGUGGGCGUGGGAACUUGCUGCUAGCCUUCGGUUUCGGAGGAGAAGACGGGAAUGGAGAGCUUCCAGGGAAGGGAGGCUACAGGCAGGAGCGGAGUAAACUCAGGAACCCAGAGAGAUGGUUUCAGGCUUGUCAGCUCCCCCAUCUCAGCUGUCCCCUGCUGCCUGCGUGUCUCCAGUCUCCCAAAGAACCACCACCGCUUGUCCUAGAAAGGGGAUCCAGGCUUGGAGCCAGCUGAUUGGAUUUGAGCUUUAAGCCUGGACACAGCUCCCAAGUCCUCAGCCCAUCAGCCACCCCCGAGACACUGAGGUUGACACCCAAGGAGAUGCCCACUCCAUAACCCUGGUACGAUGUCUAAGGAGCCACGAUCUGGAUUUGGAGUCCAGACGACCCUCACCCUUGACUCACUCGACCCUCCACGUGCCUGGCACAGAGAGCCAGCCACUAUUCUAAAGGUAAGGAAUUUCUAGAAAGAGCAGUAAUACCAGAGAUGAAAAUACUCAGCAGCUUGGCUAAACUCAA